UACAGAGGUCCCAAGCGUUGUUCGGAUUCACUGGGCGUAAAGGGUGCGUAGGUGGUUAGGUAAGUCCGAUGUGAAAUCUCCAGGCUCAACCUGGAAAUGGCAUUGGAUACUAUCUAGCUUGAGGAGUGGAGGGGGGACUGGAAUUCUCGGUGUAGCAGUGAAAUGCGUAGAUAUCGAGAGGAACACCAGUGGCGAAGGCGGCGACCUGGACAGAUACUGACACUCAACUACGAAAGCGUGGGUAGCAAACAGG
rnacentral:rRNA from 1 species